UUGGGGAUAGCCCUUGGAAGCAUGGGGUAAUACCGAAUACGCCUGAUUAUUCGCAAGAGUGAUUAGGGAAAGGCGCUUACGCGCCGUCCUGAGGUGAGCCUGCGGUCCAUUACUUAGUUGGAGGGGUAAGAGCCUACCAAGGCGACGAUGGAUAGCCGGCCUGAGAGGGUGAACGGCCACGCUGGGACUGAGACACGGCCCAGACUCCUACGGCAGGCAGCAGCUAAAAAUCUUCCGCAAUGGGCGAAAGCCUGACGGAGCGAUGCCGCGUGAGCGAAGACGGCCGGAAGGUUGUAAAGCUCUUUUCUCGGCGGAGAAUAAUCAGGGGAGGAAAUGCUCCUGUGAUGACGUGAACCGAGGAAUAAGCCCCGGCUAAUUACGUGCCAGCAGCCGCGGUAACACGUAAGGGGCGAGCGUUGUUCGGAAUUAUUGGGCGUAAAGGGCGUGUAGGCGGCUAUGUAAGCCUGGUGUGAAAGACUUCGGCUUAACCGGAGGCUCGCGCUGGGAACUAUGUGGCUUGAGUAUAGGAGGGGGAGCUGGAAUUCCAGGUGUAGGGGUGAAAUCUGUAGAUAUCUGGAAGAACACCGGAGGCGAAGGCGAGCUCCUGGCCAUAUACUGACGCUGAGGCGCGAAAGCGUGGGGAGCGAACAGGAUUAGAUACCCUGGUAGUCCACGCUGUAAACGUUGUGCACUAGGUGUCGGGCUUACGGGCUCGGUACCGAAUGACGGGCGGUGAGUGCACCGCCUGGGGAGUAUGCUCGCACGGGUGAAACUCAAAGGAAUUGACGGGGGCCCGCACAAGCGGUGGAGCAUGUGGUUUAAUUCGAUGAUACGCGAGAAGCCUUACCAGGGCUUGUCAUAUAGCAGACGGUCGUAGAGAUACGGCUUCCCUUCGGGGCUGUUAUACAGGUGCUGCAUGGCUGUCGUCAGCUCGUGCUGUGAAGUGUUGGGUUAAGUCCCGCAAUGAGCGCAACCCCUACUGUCUGUUACCAGCAUUUCGGAUGGGGACUCACACGGUACUGCCGGUGACAAACCGGAGGAAGGUGGGGAUGACGUCAAGUCAUCAUGGCCCUUAUGUCCUGGGCUACACACGUGCUACAAUGGCCGGUACAGAGCGAGGCGAAACCGCGAGGUGGAGCAAAUCCCAGAAAGCCGGUCUC
rnacentral:rRNA from 1 species